CUGUGAUCGCACCAUUGCACCCCAGCCUGGGUGACAGAGUGAGAUCUUGUCUCAAAAAACAAACAAACAAAAAAACAGGGACAAGAGCUUUUGCAGUAUCUCUUGCAACUCACUUAUUGAAGGCAUAAUUUAAUGUAAGCUUCAAAAGGGUGACUAGGACUAGAAGUCUUUGCUUUUCCCAAACGUUAUUCAGUUUUAGAGAAGAG
rnacentral:lncRNA from 1 species